ACCAUCUUUUACAGCUGAAGGCUUUGAGCUAAGCGUUGGAACCAACCAUCUCGGACAUUUUCUUCUUUCAAGAUUGCUUCUUGAUGACCUGAAAAAAUCUGAUUAUCCAUCAAAACGUAUGAUCAUCGUAGGAUCUAUAACAGGUAAAUAACAGAUAACAAGUCCAUUUCCACCAAGAUAGUUGCUAGUUUCAAACAAUGAAUGUUAUUUUCUAUGUUCUUGCAGGAAACACAAAUACUUUGGCUGGAAAUGUUCCGCCAAAGGCAAACCUUGGUGACCUAAGAGGCUUAGCAUCUGGAUUGAAUGGGCAAAACAGUUCAAUGAUAGAUGGAGGAGAGUUUGAUGGAGCAAAGGCUUACAAAGACAGCAAAGUCUGCAAUAUGUUGACAAUGCAGGAGCUUCACAGACGUUACCACGAGGAAACCGGAGUCACGUUUGCCUCUCUUUACCCUGGUUGCAUUGCUACAACAGGGUUGUUCAGAGAACACAUACCUUUGUUCCGGCUUCUUUUUCCGCCUUUUCAAAAGUAUAUCACCAAAGGUUAUGUAUCUGAAGAGGAAGCUGGGAAAAGACUAGCACAGGUCAGUAUGCAUUGCAAAUCCUUUCUAACAAGUAUAACAGAUUCUUGAUUGAUACUGAGGCGGUGGAUUUGUGUAGGUUGUGAGUGACCCUAGUCUUGGAAAGUCAGGAGUGUAUUGGAGCUGGAACAAUAACUCGUCUUCGUUUGAGAAUCAGCUCUCUAAAGAAGCAAGUGAUGCAGAGAAGGCAAAGAAACUGUGGGAGGUUAGCGAGAAGCUUGUUGGUUUGGCUUGAAAUUAAGAUUUUUGAUAUGCAAAUUCAUAUAGAUUAUUAUGUUUCUUGACAUGUACCAUAACUAUCAAGCAGAACAAUAUAUUCGAGUGAAGUCCAAUAGAGUGAAUAAUCGAAUUUGAAUCUGCAGACACUUACAAAUUAGAAUGAUGAUUCGUUAAUUGCUCCAUCGUUGAUGAGUUGGGGACAUGAAUCGUUACUGUUGAGACACGACUAACCUCCUUAGUAAAAUAUAACUGAGUAGAGUCCUCCCGAUAGGAAUCAAGAGAAUCUAACAUCCUUCUCUCUUCGAAAAUUACCCGAUGAUCGGAAUAACAAAGUGGUUAACACCGGCGAGAACGGAGUUGUUGAAUUAUGUCGUCGAUCCUUU
rnacentral:lncRNA from 1 species